rnacentral:rRNA from 1 species
GUGAGGAAUAUUGGACAAUGGGGGGAACCCUGAUCCAGCCAUGCCGCGUGUGUGAAGAAGGCCUUUUGGUUGUAAAGCACUUUAAGCGAGGAGGAGGCUACCGAGAUUAAUACUCUUGGAUAGUGGACGUUACUCGCAGAAUAAGCACCGGCUAACUCUGUGCCAGCAGCCGCGGUAAUACAGAGGGUGCAAGCGUUAAUCGGAUUUACUGGGCGUAAAGCGCGCGUAGGUGGCCAAUUAAGUCAAAUGUGAAAGCCCCGAGCUUAACUUGGGAAUUGCAUUCGAUACUGGUUGGCUAGAGUAUGGGAGAGGAUGGUAGAAUUCCAGGUGUAGCGGUGAAAUGCGUAGAGAUCUGGAGGAAUACCGAUGGCGAAGGCAGCCAUCUGGCCUAAUACUGACACUGAGGUGCGAAAGCAUGGGGAGCAAACAGGAUUAGAUACCCCUGUAGUCC